GCCAGGUGUGGUGGUGCAUGCCUGUAAUCCCAGCAGCUCAGGAGGCUGAAGCAGGAGGAUGGAGAGUUCAAAGCCAGCCUCAG
rnacentral:sRNA from 1 species